rnacentral:rRNA from 1 species
CCGGCGCACGGGUGAGUAACACGUAUGCAACCUGGCCGUCACAGGUGGAUAACCGGAAGAAAUUCCGACUAAUACAGCAUAACACUCCUGAGGGACAUCCCUUGGGAGUCAAAGGAGGCAACUCCGGUGACGGAUGGGCAUGCGGCGCAUUAGGUAGUUGGUGGGGCAACGGCCCACCAAGCCGACGAUGCGUAGGGGUUCUGAGAGGAAGGUCCCCCACAUUGGAACUGAGACACGGUCCAAACUCCUACGGGAGGCAGCAG